UUGAAUAUAUGUAUAUUUUUGAAUGAAUUUUUGAUAUAAAUAAAUUUUAAAUUAUUAUAUUGAUUUGAAUAUGUAAAUCCAUUACUUUUUAAUAUAAUUGACUUCUAAUUUUUUUAACAGCAUAAGCCUAUUAUUUUUUUCCUAACUUACUGCUAUUUAUGUUUCCAAACAACACUAUUUUUUUUUAACUGCUAUCUAUGUUGCCAAGCAAAAAAUUUAAGUCAUUCUACUUUAAUAAGAUUGAUCUACUUUAAUAAGAUAGAUGGGGGAUUUUAAGUAAUUAUCUUUUCUUUUGCAUACUUUCUCUGUAACAAUGAGAUAUGGUGUCAUGGUGAUAUAUGAUUAAAUAAAUAACUUAACCUUAAGGAAAAUCAACUUAUUUUGGUUAAUCAAGUGAUCAGGGUGAAAUAACUACAUGAUUGUGCACGAGUAAUAGGCAAGAUCUGAUACUGUGCUACAGUGUUCGUUGAAACAAAAUAGCAAUUAUAGGCAUGGGUGUUCGGUUACCCAUUGGCGUUCGGGUCGGGUUUUUCGAAUUUUGAUUAUUUUUGAUAACACCUCCUAGGUCCCAUUUUAGUAAAUUUGCAAAUACGGGUCGGGUUCAGAUAUAACACAUCGGGUUCGGGUCGGUUUUGUAUCACAUCAUUGAACCCAUAAUGUAACCAUAUAUCAUUCAGAUUCGGGUUAUAUCAGAUAGGUUUGUAUAUACCUGAAAUAAAAUCUAAAAUUUAAAAGCAAAACAUAAGAAAUAUAUACUUAUUAAAUAUAAUUAAGUAUUUAAAGUAGUUAUUUAAAUUUUAAAUACUUAUUGUUAGAUACCAUAUCAAAAUAAAUAUGAAACUGAAUAUUUGAAGUAUAUAUUCAUCUUUCAUAUAAUUACAUUGUAUAUCAGUUUGGACAUUCAGACCGGUUUCUUCAGAUAUCUUUUCAGAUUUUUUGGUUUUUCGAGUUAUCCGUUCGGUUCCGGUUAAUAACACUUCGGAUUCGGAUAUGUUUUGUACCACCUUACAAGAUCCAUUCGACUAUUUUUUACAUUUUGGACCGGGUACGGAUCGAAUUUUUCAGUUCGGGUUCGGUUCGGAUAUGGAUUUUAUGCCCAUGCCUAAACAAUUAUGUGAAAAUUUUGAGUUUAGGUUUCAGUCAAAAUAGUUUAGAUAUAUACUAUUCCCUUUGUUUGGGUUAACUUAACGUUUUAGAGGAUUUCACACAAAUUAAAGAUGCCAUUCUAAUGUCUAUUCUAUCCAUUUUUAAUUGUUUUGAAUCUUUUGAUGUGCAAUUUACUUUUGAUCAUAAAUUAUUUAUUAAUCAAAUAGAAGGGUAGAUAAAGUCUAAACCCAUUAUAUUCUCCAUAGAAUUUUGGAAUACAUCAUAUAUUUUGACACAAAAUAAAAGUUCCAAAACGUCACAUAUAACAAAAUAGAGGGAGUAGUUCGGUAAUAAGCGAUCUGACUACCUCGUGGCCUUAGUUGAAAUCAUUUCAAGUUCGGAUUAUGCCGUGUGGUAGUAAAUUCACUUUCUAGUACAUCUCUUUUAAAACUGAUCGGAUCAAUCGAUAUAUAUAUAUAUAAAAGGGUAUAUCCAAUUAUGGAAAAGACAUUCAACACACCGGGUAAGGUAAACAAAUAUAGGCAUAAAUGCAUAAUAUACAAGUGAACCAUUGUCAGGUAUCUUUUGGUAUUGUCAGGGUGUGGAGUCGCAUCAGAGGCGCGCGAAGAGCCCAUUCACAAUCCAAUAGCAUAUCUUCUUUAGAUAUGGAGAGGCUCUAUUUCGACGGUUAUAUAUUGCAACCAUGCCGGUUUGGUUUUCUCUAUGUAGGGUUUUUCUUUCAGUCUCUAGUCGUUCUUGUCGUUUUAUUUUGGCUCCAAUCAUUUACUUUAGAGUUUGAGUUGUCAUGAUUGGUUUUUCCUCGAGUCUUUAGCUCUUGCAAGCGUUACCCUUUUGUGGGUUAUAGGAAUGCUGCAAGGAUUGAGAAGUUCUUAGGUCUUGUAGCUUCAAUAGAUUGGGAGCUCUUUAACAAGACUUUGCAGAAUUCCCUAGUCCACUGGUUGAUAGGAAAGAAUGAAAAGGGUAGACUAAUACCCUGGUGGUUUCAUUUCAGCUGGUUCUUAUACCUUGACAAUUCAAGGUUUAUUACUUAAUUUGGUGCCUACUGGCAUCGAUUGUCUUUAUUAUCUACUGUUUUUUUUUUCCUUUUUUGUACUGGUAUAUGUUUGCAGUACUUGGUUUAUGCAUCUAUGUACGACCAUUUUUGUCAUGAAUUCUAUAUUGGAAUGAAUGAGAUUAAGCGUCAAAAAAAAUAAUACAAGUGAACCAUGGUAUCUUUUUAUGAUUUUGUUCUAUUUCUAACAAUUUUUUUAAACUGUUAAAAAGUUAUUAUGGGUAGAAUGUAAAAUACAUUAAAUAACAAUUUAUUUUACAUACAUGUGAAUGAAAAAUAUAUAUUUAGUGAUGUGGAAUUAUUAUAUUGUAGGUUGUAUUAAUUCCAAGAAGGCAUGCAUGAACGUGACACCGGGGGAAAAUAAACACAUCAAAGUCUAUUAAUAUACAUGUCUUCUGUUUGGUGCUAACUUUACGUCUCCAUUAUUUUUGAAUGCGUUCAGAUGUCCCUUUCCAUUUUAAAUAGAAAACAUAAUUAAUUUUAAAUAGAAAAUAUAAUUAAUUUUAAAAUAUACAUUUUCCUUGUUAAAGUAAUAAUUAGUUCUAGAAAAAACUAUUGCUAACUAUGCGCUAAGUAUAUGUUAUGCAUGACAACAUCCCUCGACUUAAUGAUGUUAUGUAUUUAACAUCACAAGUUUAAUUUCAUUUAUGCAAAAACUAAUGUAGAUGUUAGAGACCAUUUAAAUAUGUCAUUUUAUCAAUUAAAAUAUGACUGACCCGAUCAUAAUUUAACUAAAUGAUAGUUUAACCCACAUUUUAAAAGCGUAAAAAUAUUUUUAACAAAAUCGAAUUUACAAAAUCAAUAUGUUUUAACAUUUUUGAUAAGUAGUGUUUUAACAUUUUUAUUUAAGUGUAUUUGAAAAAUAUAUGAUUAUAUUGUUUUUAUUUAUAUUAAAUAUGGAAUUUAUAUAAGAUAUUAUGUAAUUUGUCUUUUAAUUAUUUUAAUCUGUUUUCUUAUGAAAUAUUUAUAAAAUUUAUGUAAUUUGUUUGAUUAAUUGUGUGAUAUAUACUUAUUUGAUACAUUUUUAAUGGAUGCAAUUUUUGUUUAUGAAAAGAUAAAUAAAAUAAUUCAUUAAUUUAUUUAAUUUAUUUAAUUUUAUAUUAAACAAAUAAAAUUUUAGAGUUAGUAAAUUGACAUAAAAUAUUUUUUGAUAAUUAAAAAGUGAUCAAAUAAGUAUAUAUCACGCAAUUAAUCAAACGAGUUACAAAUUUUUUAUUAAGAGUUGAUAACAAAACAAAUUAAAAUAUUUAAAAACCAAAAUUAAAUAAUAUCUUAUAUAAAUUUCAUAUUUAGUUAAAUUACUGUCAGGUACAUCAUAUUUUAAUUGAUAAAAACCAGAGAUUUAAAUGGUCUCUGACAUCCACAUCAAUUUUUGGAUGAAUGAAAUUAAACUCGUGAUGUUAACUACAUAACAUCAUUAAGAUGAGAGAUUUUUUCAUGCAUAAUAUAUACUUCGUGUAGCUAGGUAUACAUUAUUUUAGUUUCCAUGGUUAGUCAUGUGAUGGCCAAUAUUUUAUGUAGUCAACAAUCAUUUUUCCUUAGUUCUAUUUUUAAAAUAUUUUUGAUAAGAUUAAUUUAACAAUUAUAAUAUAAUUUCUACUAUAUAAAAGAAAUUGAGUAAGACUUCUCAUUUCAUUAUUUCUUUUUAAUUCACGACGGUUCUCUUCUCCCAACUCGAUAUACUCGAGACUCUGGUGGUCGCCGCUGUUUCAGUUGCUUCGGUGUUGCUGUCGGAUCUGGUUGCUUGCGGCGCGUAUCGUCCUUACGGUGUUUCGGCGAGGUGCUCGGGAUGUGAGACUUAAGAGAAGUCGGUGUUUAGGGUUUCUGUCUGUGUACCAAAAGUUUCCUCCUUCUAUUCCGGCUCACCGACUUAAGAUAUGGGGGUCGUCUGGAGUCUGUUCAGAUGCGUUGUUCUUCCUUCUCGGCGGUCCCGAGGGUCGACCUGACUCUUGUUUCAUCCUCAAGGUGGACUGUUUAGAGAUUUUAUCUUUUUUUCAAGUGCGCUCAGUUGCCUGAAUUUUCCUCGUGUCAAAUUUUGGUUGUCUGAUUAAAUCACGUGCAUGUUGUUGGUUCUUUUGGUGUUUGGUGUGUCUAUGCAUUCAGUAUCACUGAGCUUUUUAUCUCAUCCUCCUUUCCGCUGCUCUCACUUUGUCCUCUCCGAUUCUUGUCGGCUCUGUGUGACUGUCUUGUUCCGGUCCCGGAGCUUGUUUUUGCUCUCCAGCUGUUGGGUGGGUUCGUGUCACUGGAGCUUUUCAGAUUUUGGUAUUGAAGUUUGGUGUUGUGUGCAUAGUUUUGCAAGGUAUAAUAACAUGCACACUGAUGCAGAGAGAUAUUUGGAUAUACUCCAAAUAUAAUUAACACACCCAAAUGUUCUCACUUCUCAGAAAGGUAUACUAAGGUUGUCUUUUGAACAUCUUUUGAUAUAGACUUUAUUGGUUUUCUAGACUUGUUUUUGGCAGGAGUUUGCCAAGAAUGUUUGCAGUAAAGAAUGCCUCCACCCAAAUUUAAGAGGCAUCUUACUAUCAAACAUCAUAGAAAGACCAAGCUCGGUGAUGUGACGGUACUUUCUCUAUGUUGGUCCGUUUGGUUGAGGAGAAUAGAUAUGUUUUUGAAUGCCACACUUUUUGCAGAUGAGUAAGAACACUGACCUUGUAAAUCACACAGAAAUAAACUUAUCUUGCAGCUAAAUUGAUUUUUACUAGUCUUUGAAAUUUGCAAAAUGUAGAGUAGAAUUCAGACUUGUGUUUGAGUGUAUAAAACAUGAGUAUCAAGACCACUUAUCAAUGAGAAUUACAUAGAACCAAAAACCCUGACCAGAAACAUUUGGUGCAUAUCUCCAAAAUUGCAAUACCCCUUUCCAGAGGGUCUGGUUUUACAAAAGAUGAAGACAUAAAAGGUAGUCUACUGCUUUCCCAAGUUGACAUGAAGAACACAUUUUGUUGAUAGCCUUUCAAGAGGUCUGGUUUUACAAAAGAUGAAGACAUAAAAGUGCAGUUUUUUUCAGUAAUUAUACAGACUUAGAUGUAUAUGAAUCUUUCUUUUUUUUCAAAAAAAAAAAGAAUCUUUCUUUUUAAAAGAGAUACUUUUGUCAGUAAGUUAACUACAGUUAUGUUUCCGGUUUCAAACCAUUCUGGAGUAUUGGUCCCUGAACUUGUGUGUUACUACACAACAUUGAAGUACUGUCUAUUUCCAAUUCAUAAUUCAUGAGAUUCGGUGAAGAACGCAACAUAAUGUUUUUCUAGCAUGUAUUGAUGUAUAUAUGAAUGAAUUACAAUAAACUUCGUGAUAAAGUCACGACCACAUCACAACAAUCAAAACCAAAGAAAUGCAACAUGAGAAAGAGUUUUUUUUGUUCACAAUAAUUGUUAUCUAAAAAUUUAAAUAGUAAAAUUACACAUUUAUCUCAAAUAUACGUUUAUCUUAAACAAAUAAAUAAGAUAUUAUAUUUUAUUUUUGAAUUAUAUUUUAUUUAUUAAAAUAUGUAAUUUGGAUAAAAAUGUCUUCACAUAUAAGAAAUUGUAAUUAAAAAAGAUGUAAUUUUAAAAUUUUAAAUGUAAAUAGAGCAGUUUUAAAUUAUAUAUCCAUUAAAAUAGGUAUCAUAAAAUAUUUACUGACUUGAACUAUGAAAUAUAUCAGUUUUGUUAGAAACUGUUAGAAAGCCACUAAUAAAUCAUUCUAAUAUCUCCCAAUUUUUUUCAUUAUACUAUAUUUGAAAGUUGAAACCAUUGGAUGAUAUUGUUCAUCAAUUCGCUCAUGAAUACAAAAAUGAUUUAUUCUUGGUUUCACUCUUUAGGGUGACCUUUAGGUUCACCAACCAAUAGGAUUGUGUUAUUUCAUAUUCAAUAUCUUUAAAAAAAAAAGAAACAAAAUAUUAUUAAGUUAUAUUAUAUUUUUAAAAUAAAAAAGUAAAAAAUAAAUAAAUAAAAAUAGUAGUAGUUAUAGAAUAACAAUAU